GCAGUAAGGCCUGCCCUGAGACACACUGCCUGGGAAUGUCAGAACUGACAGCAACUGCACAAUAUGUGAAGCUCCCAUAUGUGAAAUAGGCUCUUGGGCCUCCAAGGAAGCAGGACACAGCAGGAUAGGAGCUUUCUCUCUUCACUUAUAAGUACUGCACAUAAUAGCUAGGUUUUCCUCGACUUUUCCAUACAACCUAAACUAUUUACAUCACUUUUACAGAAAGGGUUUAUCAAACAUAGGUUUGGAGGGGUGUUAAAAUUAGUAAAUACUUACAUAUUUGUCACUAGAGAAUAGUUGUACAUGAACAUAUUCUGUAUAAUGUCAAAGUUAAAUUUUGGUUCAAGCCUAUUUACUAAGAAAAUAUGGAUCUUUCCUAUAACAUUAGUUUAAAAACUCUAAGCACCAAUAAUUUGUAGUCUAGAGUCUAUGAAUGUUGUAGAAAACUAUCUUGGCUAACAUACUUUUACAAAGAACUCUAUGUAUUCACUCUUGGUUCUAAGUUAUAAUUCCCAAAGAAAGUGGGUAAGCUUAGUGGUCAGUGCUCAUCUUAUCCCACUCAACCUAAUCAGCGGCAUAAAAGCCGUCAAGUUCUGGCCAAUCCUGCGCAACACCAAGGUUCAGUUCCUGACACCCAUGUGGCCUCACAACUGUUUGUGAUGUUAGCUCCAAGGGAUUCACACCCUUUUCUGGCUUCUGUAGGUUCCUGCAUGUACAAAUGCAUGCAAAACACUCAUAAAUACAAAGUUAAAAUAGUCAGGAUCUCAUAUAAAUUAAGCAAGUAAAGAAACUAAGAAGAAACAUCUAUAACCUAACGUUCGCUAGGCUUGGUGUUGUCACCUUUAAUCCCAGCACAGCUCUGGUUAAGACACGUGUUAGAGUCUAAAUGAACUGGAAUCUGUUUAUUCUCUCAGCCUAUUUUCCUCCUGCAAGGAAGAGAUCUAGGAGCACCCAUUCACUCUAUAACAUAGUACUUAGCUUUAUUUGUCUUACAGUAAACUUUUAAACAUUCUCCAGCCUACAGGGUACUGAGAAGUUAGUAGCUGUGGUGGUUUGAAUGAGAAUGCCUCCAUAGGCUCCUAUGCUUGAUGCUUGGCCCCCGCUGGUGAAACUGGAAAGGAUUAGGUGUAGCUUUGUUGAGGUUUCCAAAGCCUUUGCCAGGCCUAGAUCUCUCUGCCCGCUGCCUGCAGGUCAGGAAGUAAGGCCCUCAGCUACUGCUCCAGCACUGCGCCUGUCUGCUCCGUCAUGAUGAUAAUGGACAAACUCUAGAACUCAGAGUAAGCCUGCACUUAGUUACUUUCCUUUAUAAGAGCUGCCUUGUCACAGUGUCUCUUCACAGCACUGGAACAGUGACUAAGACAACGUCUGUCCAGCCAUAAAUUAAGACACAAGACUCUUCCCCCACCCCUGCUUUCCCUUCUUCAGUACUGAGGAUUCAACUUUGCCCAUCUAGACCUAAAGUUCCACCGCUAAGUUAUAACCACAGUCCAUUUUUUAUUUUUAAUUUUGAGACAGGAUCUGGCCUGAGCCGCCCACACUGCCCACGCAGACACUGUACUUUCAAUGCUGCUGAGUAACUGGAGUCACCAGGCCUGGCUGGGGCCUCCCCUUCAUCUAUAGUGCACGGUCAGUAUUUCUUCCCCUAGAUAACCACACUUCAUUCUCUUCUGGACUACCGCUCACUCUGUUUUCCAGUCUCUAUGUCCAGGAGUGCUUGGCUUCUGUGUCAUCUGUGGGCAGGAGGACCUGGUGUACAUCGUCUCGAAGGCUACGACAAUAUAAAGCAGUAAGCCCUCAGCUCCUGCCUCCACGUUCCUGCCUGGCUGAGUUCCUGUCCUGACUUCCUUCAGUGAUGAACAGUGCUGUGGAAGUAUCACUUCGAGAACCCCAGGCUUGGGAGCUGGAGAGAUGGCAGAGAGAUUCAGAGCCUUUGCUGCCCUUGCAGAGGAUCAAGUUCAGUUCCUGUUUCCGUGUGGCUCGGAAGGUGACAAAGGCCGUGACAGCAGAGAAGAAGACCCAGAUCACCAAGAACCUCCACCAGUGCAGCUUCACUGUGAAAUAGAGGGGAACAACCCACAUCUGAAAGAGGGUCACCAUCUGAAACAAAAC